ensembl:snoRNA
CACAAAUGAUGCUUUUUCUCACGAUGGUCUUCCAAACUCUAGCAGUUUUGACGACACUGCCUAAUGGCAAUACUGAUGUAGCCAU